GAGGUAGAAAGCUGGUGAAGCCAUUUCCUGCUGUCAUUAUAUUCUGUUUGCACAGAUAAUAAACCUGGUUGACAAGAAGGAAGUCGUUUUCAUUCGACACAACGCAGAGAUACAUGUGGCGUCAAUCCAGACCGGUUACACAAAGAAUGAUAAAUAGAGAAAACAGAUAUAAUUUGCUUAUUAUCUGAUUACCAGCUCUGCACAGCGGACUUGUAACACUAGCAGCAGUGGAGAUGGAGCAUCAGAACCUGGAGGCUUCUACUCUCCUGAAGAAGAAGAAUACAGCAACAAGGAUCCAUUUGAAGAUAGGUAAAUAUUUCACAGCUGCCUGGGCCUAGCAGC